CUAGCUUUCUCGGCCUUUUGGCUAUGAUCAAGUGUAGUAUUUGUUCUUUAUCAGUUUAAUAUCUGAUACGUGGGCAUCGCCUCAAGUGUAGAAUUGGUAUCUGUUCUUGUAAAUUCUAGUUCAAAAGUCUUAACAUAUUGACAUAACCAUUUCAGACUGACAGCUU